GAUGAACGCUGGCGGCGUGCUUAACACAUGCAAGUCGAACGGAGUUAUGAUGUGCGAGGGAAACAGCUUGCUGGGAACUGAACUUUUCAUAACUUAGUGGCGGACGGGUGAGUAACGCGUGGGUAACCUGCCGUAUACAGGGGGAUAACACCUGGAAACAGGUGCUAAAACCGCAUUAGCGCACGAAAGCGCAUGCCUUUGUGUGAAAAACUAUAGUGGUAUACGAUGGACCCGCGUCUGAUUAGCCAGUUGGCAGGGUAACGGCCUACCAAAGCGACGAUAGGUAGCCGGCCUGAGCGGGCGGACGGCCACAUUGGGACUGAGACACGGCCCAAACUCCUACGGGAGGCAGCAGUGGGGGAUAUUGCACAAUGGGGGAAACCCUGAUGCAGCGACGCCGCGUGAGUGAAGAAGUAUUUCGGUAUGUAAAGCUCUGUCAGCAGGGAAGAAGAUGACAGUACCUGACCAAGAAGCCCCGGCUAACUACGUGCCAGCAGCCGCCGCCG
rnacentral:rRNA from 1 species